CAGUGAUAAACUGGAGGAAGGUGGGGAUGACGUCAAGUCAUCAUGGCCCUUACGACCAGGGCUACACACGUGCUACAAUGGCAUAUACAAAGAGAAGCGACCUCGCGAGAGCAAGCGGACCUCAUAAAGUAUGUCGUAGUCCGGAUUGGAGUCUGCAACUCGACUCCAUGAAGUCGGAAUCGCUAGUAAUCGUGGAUCAGAAUGCCACGGUGAAUACGUUCCCGGGCCUUGUACACACCGCCCGUCACACCAUGGGAGUGGGUUGCAAAAGAAGUAGGUAGCUUAACCUUCGGGAGGGCGCUUACCACUUUGUGAUUCAUGACUGGGGUGAAGUCGUAACAAGGUAACCGUAGGGGAACCUGCGGUUGGAUCACCUCCUUACCUU
rnacentral:rRNA from 3 species